CCAUGCAAGUCGAGCGGCAGCACGGGUACUUGUACCUGGUGGCGAGCGGCGGACGGGUGAGUAAUGCCUAGGAAUCUGCCUGGUAGUGGGGGAUAACGUCCGGAAACGGGCGCUAAUACCGCAUACGUCCUACGGGAGAAAGUGGGGGAUCUUCGGACCUCACGCUAUCAGAUGAGCCUAGGUCGGAUUAGCUAGUUGGUGAGGUAAUGGCUCACCAAGGCUACGAUCCGUAACUGGUCUGAGAGGAUGAUCAGUCACACUGGAACUGAGACACGGUCCAGACUCCUACGGGAGGCAGCAGUGGGGAAUAUUGGACAAUGGGCGAAAGCCUGAUCCAGCCAUGCCGCGUGUGUGAAGAAGGUCUUCGGAUUGUAAAGCACUUUAAGUUGGGAGGAAGGGUACUUACCUAAUACGUGAGUAUUUUGACGUUACCGACAGAAUAAGCACCGGCUAACUCUGUGCCAUCAGGCGGGGUAAUACAAAGGGUGCAAGCGUUAAUCGGAAUUACUGGGCGUAAAGCGCGCGUAGGUGGUUUGUUAAGUUGGAUGUGAAAGCCCCGGGCUCAACCUGGGAACUGCAU
rnacentral:rRNA from 1 species